AUGCGCAGUGUAGACGCCACUCGUGGUCCACUUCCAGAUGAGGCGAUCCGGUACCUCAGUGCAAAGUUUUGGAUUUCGCCCGGAAAAAACGGAAAAUGACCGAAAUUCGUCAAUCUCGUCUGGGCCCGGAUUUAGUGCGAUCCGGUGAAAUAAUUUCGGCUUUUUUUGAAAUUGCCAGCCCAGCCCACCACCCAAAAUAGCCCACAUAUCCUACCUUGUUGUAUAAAUACGUGAACUCAGCCAACCCUAACCCUAAUUUUUCGUUUUCCUCCCUAGCUGCGUGUGUGUGGCGGCUGCAGGCAAUACGUGAAGCUCGAGGCCGGCCGGCGCGCCACUGCCGCGGCCAGCGUCGUCUUCGACAGUCGCCACUCGUCACCCCUCCCCCUUCUCCUUCCGAUGGACCUGUGCGACGGCGGCGACCUGGGCUUGGGCGACCGGUGCGAUCUCGACAGCGCCCGUGCGCGCGGUGAGCGGGGCGACAGGCGCGACCUCGACGGCGN
rnacentral:lncRNA from 1 species